UACGUAGGUGGCAAGCGUUGUCCGGAAUUAUUGGGCGUAAAGCGCGCGCAGGUGGUUCCUUAAGUCUGAUGUGAAAGCCCACGGCUCAACCGUGGAGGGUCAUUGGAAACUGGGGAACUUGAGUGCAGAAGAGGAAAGUGGAAUUCCAAGUGUAGCGGUGAAAUGCGUAGAUAUAUGGAGGAACACCGGUGGCGAAAGCGGCUCUCUGGACUGUAACUGACACUGAGGCUCGAAAGCGUGGGUAGCAAACAGG
rnacentral:rRNA from 1 species